rnacentral:rRNA from 1 species
AACGUAGGAGACAAACGUUAUCCGGAGUUACUGGGCGUAAAGGGCGUGUAGGCGGUCUGUUAAGUCUGGCGUGAAAGCUCCCGGCUAAACCGGGAGAGGUCGUUGGAUACUGGCAGGCUUGAGGACGGUAGAGGCGUGUGGAAUUCCGGGUGUAGUGGUGAAAUGCGUAGAGAUCCGGAGGAACACCAGUGGCGAAGGCGACACGCUGGGCCGUACCUGACGCUAAAGCGCGACAGCAUGGGGAGCAAACGGG